rnacentral:rRNA from 1 species
UACGUAGGGUGCGAGCGUUGUCCGGAAUUCUUGGGCGUAAAGAGCUCGUAGGCGGUCUGUCGCGUCGGUCGUGAAAACUUGGGGCUUAACCCUGAGCUUGCGGUCGAUACGGGCAUGACUGGAGUUCGGCAGGGGAGACUGGAAUUCCUGGUGUAGCGGUGAAAUGCGCAGAUAUCAGGAGGAACACCUAUGGCGAAGGCAGCUCGCUGGGACGUGACUGACGCUGAGACGCGAAAGCGUGGGGAGCAAACAGG